GACGAACGCUGGCGGCGUGCCUAAUACAUGCAAGUAGAACGCUGACGGAGGAACUUGCUUCUCCGGAUGAGUUGCGGACGGGUGAGUAACGCGUAUGUAACCUGCCUUGUAUCGGGGGAGAACUAUUGGAAACGAUAGCUAAUACCGCAUAACAGUAGAUAUUGCAUGAUAUCUGCUUGAAAUUUGCACUUGCAUCACUACCAUAUGGACCUGCGUUGUAAUAGCUAGUUGGGGGGGUAAAGGCUCACCAAGGCGAAGAUACAUAGCCGACCUGAGAGGGUGGACCACCACAAUGGGAACGGGACAACGGCCAGAAUUCUUAGGGGAGGAGCAGGAGGGGAUCAUUGGACAUGGACGGAAGUCUGAACGAGCAAAGACGGGGUAGGGGAGAAGGGUUUCGGAUCGGUAAGCUCUGUUGUAAGGGAAGAAAGAGCGUGAGAGUGGAAAGUUCACGCUGUGACGGUAUCUUACGAGAAAGCGACGGCUAACUACGUG
rnacentral:rRNA from 1 species